AGGACGAACGCUGGCGGCGUGCUUAACACACGCAAGUCGAGCGGUAAGGCCCUUUCGGGGGUACACGAGCGGCGAACGGGUGAGUAACACGUGAGCAAUCUGCCCUUCACUUCGGGAUAAGCCUCGGAAACGGGGUCUAAUACCGGAUAUGACUGCGCCAUGCAUGUGGUGUGGUGGAAAGUUCUGGCGGUGAGGGAUGAGCUCGCGGCCUAUCAGCUUGUUGGUGGGGUAAUGGCCUACCAAGGCUUCGACGGGUAGCCGGCCUGAGAGGGUGACCGGCCACACUGGGACUGAGACACGGCCCAGACUCCUACGGGAGCAGCAGUGGGGAUUUGGACAAUGGCGAAAGCCUGAUCCAGCCAUGCCGC
rnacentral:rRNA from 1 species